GCUAUUAUUCGUGAAUUGGGUGGUAUUCCAAUUGUUGCAAACAAAAUCAACCAUUCCAACCAGAGUAUUAAAGAGAAAGCUUUAAAUGCACUAAAUAACCUGAGUGUGAAUGUUGAAAAUCAAAUCAAGAUAAAGAUAUACAUCAGUCAAGUAUGUGAGGAUGUCUUCUCUGGUCCUCUGAACUCUGCUGUGCAGCUGGCUGGACUGACAUUGUUGACAAACAUGACUGUUACCAAUGACCACCAGCACAUGCUUCACAGUUACAUUACAGACCUGUUCCAGGUGUUACUUACUGGAAAUGGAAACACGAAGGUGCAAGUUUUGAAACUGCUUUUGAAUUUGUCUGAAAAUCCAGCCAUGACAGAAGGACUUCUCCGUGCCCAAGUGGAUUCAUCAUUCCUUUCCCUUUAUGACAGCCACGUAGCAAAGGAGAUUCUUCUUCGAGUACUUACGCUAUUUCAGAAUAUAAAGAACUGCCUCAAAAUAGAAGGCCAUUUAGCUGUGCAGCCUACUUUCACUGAAGGUUCAUUGUUUUUCCUGUUACAUGGAGAAGAAUGUGCCCAGAAAAUAAGAGCUUUAGUUGAUCACCAUGAUGCAGAGGUGAAGGAAAAGGUUGUAACAAUAAUACCCAAAAUCUGAUUGGUCAUAUUUUUCCAAAGAGUAAUGCAGUCUGGAUAUAAACGUAUUUUCUGUCUUCCUUAUAAGGGGAUUCUCCCAGCUGCUAAAUUUAA
rnacentral:misc_RNA from 1 species